GAUGAACGCUGGCGGCGUGCUUAAUACAUGCAAGUCGAGCGAAGCACUUUAACGGAAUUCUCCGGAAGGAAGGUAAAGUGACUGAGCGGCGGACGGGUGAGUAACGCGUGGGUAACCUGCCUUAUACAGGGGGAUAACAGUUAGAAAUCACCGCUAAUACCGCAUACACUGAAAGUAUCGCAUGAUACAUUCAGGAAAGGAGCAAUCCGCUGAUAGAUGGGCUUGCGUCUGAUUAGAUAGUUGGUGGGGUAAUGGCCUACCAAGUCGACGAUCAGUAGCCGGACUGAGAGGUUGAACGGCCACAUUGGGACUGAGAUACGGCCCAG
rnacentral:rRNA from 1 species